rnacentral:rRNA from 1 species
CCUACUUGAGGCUGCAGGGGGGAAUAUUGGACAAUGGGGGCAACCCUGAUCCAGCCAUGCCGCGUGUGUGAAGAAGGCCCUCGGGUUGUAAAGCACUUUCAGUGAGGAAGAACGCCUGGUGGUUAAUACCCAUCAGGAAAGACAUCACUCACAGAAGAAGCACCGGCUAACUCCGUGCCAGCAGCCGCGGUAAUACGGAGGGUGCGAGCGUUAAUCGGAAUUACUGGGCGUAAAGCGCGCGUAGGUGGCUUGAUAAGCCGGUUGUGAAAGCCCCGGGCUCAACCUGGGGACGGCAUCCGGAACUGUCAAGCUAGAGUGCAGGAGAGGAAGGUAGAAUUCCCGGUGUAGCGGUGAAAUGCGUAGAGAUCGGGAGGAAUACCAGUGGCGAAGGCGGCCUUCUGGACUGACACUGACACUGAGGUGCGAAAGCGUGGGUAGCAAACAGGAUUAGAUACCCCUGUAGUC